UAUAUAAAGCCACUGUGAUUUUUGUGGCAGUCGUCUAAACAGAUCACACAGCUCUGUUGAUCGUAAAGCAGGAAGCUGCAUGGAAUGUAUGCCUCAUCAAGUCCAACCAGUUUCUGAGUUUUUCCUCUGUGAGGACAUCACAGCUUUUUAUAGCUCGCAACAUAGUUUCUUGCUACCUGAAGUGAUUUACUGAGGUAGAAUUGGGUGAAGAUGGAUGAUUCUGGCCGAUUACCCAGACAACCCGGAAGGAAAGGAGACCAGCCACUACUGGAGAACGAUGAGAAGAUCCUGGAGAAACAGAAACCAGAACUUUUUGAGGUUAAGGACUGCUGAAACAACAAACAAUCCAUUUCUGGGAUUACGUUCCAGUUUUAGUAAACUGAC